rnacentral:rRNA from 1 species
GGGGGAAAAUUAAUAAAAUAUAAAUAAUAAAAAAAUUUUUAAUAUUGGGGGAUAUUGAAGUAUUUUUUUAAAAAAAAAUAAAUUAUUUUAUAGUUAAAUAGUAUUGAAAAAGAAAUUUGAAAUAAGUGAAAAUAAAUUAAAAAAAAAGUAAUUUUAAUUUAAUGUAUCUUGUGUAUCAGAGUUUAUUAAAAAAUAUUUUUUAAUAAGAAAAAUCUCGAAUUUAAAAGAGUUAAUUAAUUAUAAAAGUUAAUGUGGAAAAAUUAUUUUAAAUAAUUAAUUUGAAAUGAAAUGUUAAUCGUUUUUAAAUAUAUCUAGUUAUUUUAGAAAAAAAUUUAAUUUAAAAUUUAAAAWAUUUUAUUAUUAAUUAUAAUUAAUAAUAAAAUAUUUAAAAUUAAAUAUAUUAAGGGAUAAGCUUUAAUAUAAAAAUUUAUAAUAAUUUUAAUUAAAAUAUAAAAAUUUUAAAAUUUAUAUUGUUUAAAAAUUAUAAUUUAUUAUAAAAAAUUUUAUAAAUAAUAAAAUUUAAUUUAAAAUUUAAUUUUAUAUAAAAUAAUAAUUUAAAAUAAAAUAAAAUUAAAAAUAAUGAUAAAAUUAGUAUAUUAAAAUAAAAAUGAAAUUUAAUUAAAAAAAAUUAAAUUAAAGGAAUUCGGCAAAAAUUUAUAUUCACUUGUUUAUCAAAAACAUGUCUUUUAGAAAAUAAUUUAAAGUCUAAUCUGCCCACUGAUAUUAUAUUAAAGGGCUGCAGUAUAUUGACUGUACAAAGGUAGCAUAAUCAAUAGUCUUUUAAUUGAAGACUUGUAUAAAAGAUUUGAUGAGAUAUAAGCUGUCUCUAAUUUAUGAAUAAAAUUUAAUUUUUUAGUUAAAAAGCUAAAAUAAAUUUAAAAGACGAGAAGACCCUAUAGAGUUUUAUAUUAUAACAUUUAUUUAAGAUUAAUUAUAUAAAUAAAAAUUAAAAAUAAAAAUAAUAUUUUAUUGGGGUGAUAGAAAAAUUUAUUUAACUUUUUUUAAAAAUUUAACAUAAAUAAGUGAAUAAUUGAUCCAUUUUUUAUGAUUAAAAGAAAAAAUUACCUUAGGGAUAACAGCGUAAUAUUUUUUUCUAGUACAAAUAGAAAAAAAAGUUUGCGACCUCGAUGUUGGAUUAAGAUAAAAUUUAAAUGCAAAAGUUUAAAAUUUUGAUCUGUUCGAUCAUUAAAAUCUUACAUGAUCUGAGUUCAAACCGGUGUAAGCCAGGUUGGUUUCUAUCUUUAAAAUAAUAAAAUAUUUUAGUACGAAAGGAUCAAAUAUUUUUAAUAAUUAAAAUUUAAUGAAUAUUAAUAAUAUGAUUAUAU